GCGGACAUAGCUCAAUGGUAGAGUAUCUCCUUGCCAAGGAGAAUGUUGCGGGUUCGACUCCCGUUGUCCGCU
rnacentral:tRNA from 1 species